CUGAAAAGUUCUCUGAUGAAGGCAAUUUGGUCUUCUGCAGUUGGAGCUACCUCCCCCUAUAGAGAACCCGGUGCCAGCACACAUCCACAGGACGACAAGGAAGGGCAUGAACAGGACAACUGCUGACUGGCUAGUUAGACUAGAGCCGUAUGUUAUAGAAUGGGAGACAGCAAACACAAAUCUAUGGCACGAGAAUCACAAUUUCGAUCUCGAUGAAUUCAAUCUCUAUUUGCGGCGCUACAUGACCGGAACACGGUUACGCAUUGUUGAGUACUCCCACCCAGAGGAGUUACCGGAUCCUACUCCGUCGGAUAUGUACCCGAGCUAUGAUACUUCGGGCUCUAGGCAGUACGCGGCUACCUUGACACGCGAACUGUACGACGACGUGACCAC